rnacentral:rRNA from 1 species
CCUACGGGUGGCAGCAGUGGGGAAUAUUGCACAAUGGGCGCAAGCCUGAUGCAGCCAUGCCGCGUGUAUGAAGAAGGCCUUCGGGUUGUAAAGUACUUUCAGCGGGGAGGAAGGCGAUAAGGUUAAUAGCCUUGUCGAUUGACGUUACCCGCAGAAGAAGCACCGGCUAACUCCGUGCCAGCAGCCGCGGUAAUACGGAGGGUGCAAGCGUUAAUCGGAAUUACUGGGCGUAAAGCGCACGCAGGCGGUCUGUCAAGUCGGAUGUGAAAUCCCCGGGCUCAACCUGGGAACUGCAUUCGAAACUGGCAGGCUAGAGUCUUGUAGAGGGGGGUAGAAUUCCAGGUGUAGCGGUGAAAUUCGUAGAUAUUCGGAGGAACACCAGUGGCGAAGGCGGCUUACUGGUCUGCAACUGACGCUGAGGCGCGAAAGCGUGGGGAGCAAACAGGAUUAGAUACCCCAGUAGUC